GCGGCGUAUUAGCUAGUUGGUGAGGUAAAGGCUCACCAAGGCAGUGAUACGUAGCCGACCUGAGAGGGUAAUCGGCCACAUUGGGACUGAGACACGGCCCAGACUCCUACGGGAGGCAGCAGUAGGGAAUCUUCCACAAUGGACGCAAGUCUGAUGGAGCAACGCCGCGUGAGUGAAGAAGGGUUUCGGCUCGUAAAGCUCUGUUGUUAAAGAAGAACGUGGGUAAGAGUAACUGUUUACCCAGUGACGGUAUUUAACCAGAAAGCCACGGCUAACUACGUGCCAGCAGCCGCGGUAAUACGUAGGUGGCAAGCGUUAUCCGGAUUUAUUGGGCGUAAAGCGAGCGCAGGCGGUCUUUUAAGUCUAAUGUGAAAGCCUUCGGCUCAACCGAAGAAGUGCAUUGGAAGCUGGGAGACUUGAGUGCUGAAUAGGACAGUGUAACUCCAUGUGUAACGGUGACA
rnacentral:rRNA from 1 species